rnacentral:rRNA from 1 species
GACGAACGCUGGCGGCGUGCUUAACACAUGCAAGUCGAGCGGUAAGGCCCUUUCGGGGGUACACGAGCGGCGAACGGGUGAGUAACACGUGGGUGACCUGCCCUCAGCUCUGGGAUAAGCCUGGGAAACCGGGUCUAAUACUGGAUAUGACUCCAUGACGCAUGUUGUGGGGUGGAAAGCCUUGUGCGGCUGAGGAUGGGCCCGCGGCCUAUCAGCUUGUUGGUGGGGGAUGGCCUACCAAGGCGACGACGGGUAGCCGGCCUGAGAGGGCGACCGGCCACACUGGGACUGAGACACGGCCCAGACUCCUACGGGAGGCAGCAGUGGGAAUCUUGCGCAAUGGGCGAAAGCCUGACGCAGCGACGCCGCGUGUGGGAUGACGGCCUGG